CUCAGAUCAACAUUCUGCAGAAGCCCUGCUAGUUUCCAGGGUCUAGAAAUGCCACACUACCCUCUAAGCAGCCACUUCCAGCCUCACUUGUGGUCCCCUGACCCCCACUGACCCUCCCUGCCACAAGCAGGCUUUCUCCUGACUCAUCGAGGUAUAGAUACCCUGCAAGGCGGAGGUCAGCCGAGCAGCCUCCUGGCCAGCUCUAAGGAGCACUCUGCAUAAACAGCCCUACCACUAAUGAGAGCUUCCAAAGUAGCCUGCUCCCUGGGGACCCGGACUUCCAGUUCUCAGCAGCCAUGUGGGAAGGGAAAUGUUCCAGAGGCAUCCUGGUAGAGGUAGUCGGAGCCUAAGGUGAGAACAGGAGAGGAAGGAAUCCUAAGAAGGGUUGCAAGAGGAAUGCCGCUCUGCCUUGGGAGUCCUCAUGCCUCCCACCCCCGAUGUCAGGUCAACACAACGCUUGCCCAUCACAGGAUCAGAGUUGAAGGGAUGCCAGAGUCAUGGAUCUGGGAAAGAAGACCUGGGCCUCAGCCUGCUGCAUAGUGACAAGGCUGUCUGGGGAGCUGCUGAGUAUGAGCAAGCGUACAGUCCUGACAUCUGGAGAGACGUCUGUCAGUUUGGGCCACUGUGAGGGUUAUAAUUCCUCAGAAGAGCAGGGCUCCAAUGACGUGGAGCCUCAGCUCUGGACCUCUGCUUACCCUGUCCAGCUCCGCUGCACAACAGAAGUCUUCCUCCAGCACAGGAAGUCUGGAGUCCAUGGCCUUAGCGGGAAGCUCAUCUGCCUCCUGUACAGAGUCUUCCAAACAGCUUUGCCUUUGCUGAGAGAGGUGGAUGAGCCAACAGAGUAAAGACCAGGAGAAGUGGCGUGGCCCGUUUGGACUGCCAUGGGGAAAGGAGAGUCCCUUCCAGCCAGAGGGAGACAUGGAAGUUUGGAUGCAGAUCUAGAUCACGAAGUAAGGGAGGUUUUGACAUCCAUCACUCAGAACAAUGUGGACCAGAAGGACCACAUGAGAAGACCAUCAGACUUGUAGAAGCUUCAAGCACCUGCGUCCCACACUCCUACCCAAGAGCUACCCCAGGAUGGCCUCCUGCCACUCUGCUCUCCCAGGGGUCAGCCUGCAGGGAAGCAGCUACAAUCUACAGUGGGGAAAUGGGAAAUGGGCACCAUCGUACCAGCAGCGACUCGAGAGUUUAGCUGCCUGGGGUAAGAGGUACAGGGUGGAACAGGGAGGGUAGGUUAGAUUUGGAAUCCAUCCGCAUCUGCAAGCCCGAGCCACCUUUCACCCUGCAGGGGCCUACCUUCUACCCCAUGCACACAGUGCUCUGUGGAGUGAUGCUAACAAGCACGGGAGCUAGUACUUUGUUUUCUGUUUUCAAUGUUCUUUCUUGGCAAAAUAGAAAGCUGGCACCCGGAGACAGGAACUAAACUUGAUUUUUUGAAAUUUUAAUUGUUUGUGAAAUCCACGGGCUUGGAACUCCAUAUAAAUCUCUUUCUUCUCUCUUCUCUCUUCUCUCUUCUCUCUUCUCCUCUCUCCUCUCUUUUCUCUCUCUUUUCUCUCUCUCUCUAUCCAGAGUCUUGCAUUUCCUAGGUGAGUGAUUUACCACUGAGCCACACCCCAGCCCUAAGACAUCACAGUCCUCUCAGCCCUCACCAGCAGCAGCUGGCUUCCUAUCCAUCUAGCCCACUUAACAGAUGACAUCAGGGGAUGAGAAGGGACCUGCCUGAGACCUCACAUCCUGGAGCCAGGAUGGGGCUGAAGGAUGAAGCUCCAUCUCCUGUCCUGGGCCAGCCCUACCCUCCUAUGACCAUUCUCCACCAUCCUCCAUCCAAACACAUGGAGGCUAAUG
ensembl:lncRNA